GUAGCAUGGUAACCAGUGGCUGUAUCCUGGAUGCCCGGAGGCCAUCCAUCUGUCCUGAAGGAUUUUGGAACACAAACCAGCUGGGCAUUUUUGUGCAUGCACGACCUGCCUUCGCAAUGAUCUUAAGAUGUCACUGUAGCGUUUACAUCUUUUAUUUCAAGAUUUAAAUAACUAGGAAGUAGCUAAUGUAAUUCACUGCUGAGAAGAAAGGCGAGCUCCUCGAUUCCUUUCCAAAGCGAUCUCCUCCUAAUGAACUUCUCUGGACUAGGGAAGAGAGAAGCCCCUCCCAUUCGCUUCUACUGGGGCUUGUUAAGCCAUUGCCUUGGGGGCCGGCUGAUCAGCCGCAGCCAGCAGCCGGCGGCUUCGGCAGGCAGGAGCAAGGACAGCCUGUGGCUACUGCAGCCCCACUGCCGGCCAGGCUUCAUGACAGGAGAGUGCCUUGGGAGGAAUGUAAAGGUAAACCACGUUAGCAUCAUAGAGCCCACUUAAUUCUGUGUGGGUUGAUAUUUGGGG